CAGGAGGCAGCAGUGGGGAAUAUUGGACAAUGCCCGCAAGGGUGAUCCAGCCAUGCCGCGUGCAGGAAGAAGGACCUAUGGUUUGUAAGCUGCUUUUGUACGGGAGAAAACCCCCUUUCGUGAAAGGGGCUGAUAGUACCGUAAGAAUAAGCAUCGGCUAACUUCGUGCCAGCAGCCGCGGUAAGACGAAGGAUGCAAGCGUUAUCCGGAUUCAUUGGGUUUAAAGGGUGCGUAGGCGGUCUUGUAAGUCAGUGGUGAAAUCUCGCAGCUUAACUGCGAAACUGCCAUUGAUACUGCAGGACUUGAGUACAGAUGCUGUGGGCGGAAUAUGACAUGUAGUGGUGAAAUACAUAGAGAUGUCAUAGAACACCGAUUGCGAAGGCAGCUCACAAAACUGUAACUGACGCUGAGGCACGAAAGUGCGGGGAUCAAACAGGAUUAGAUACCCCCGUAGUCCG
rnacentral:rRNA from 1 species